CCCCCCGAUAUGGGGAUGCUCCCCCCCGCCCUGGAGAUUACGGAACUCCUUGGACACGCAGGCGAGGCGACAGGUUUAGAAUGCAGCACAGACAACUCUGGACUCAGUUACUGCAGCAUCCACGGAGCAGACAAGUGAAGCAAGUCAGCCGUGGGGGCAAACUUUUACCAAUUUUUUUUAACGGGCUAACAGCUAGGGAGCUAACAUACCAGCAGAGAAAUGCAGACUGUCUGCCUGGCUGUUUCCUAGGCUGCUGCAGUUCAAAGACCUGUCCCAUUAGGAACGUCUGAAAUACUCUCCCCGCUGCAGACGCUCAUGCAAGCUGUACAAGGGGCUGUGCACCGGUGGUCCCGAGUGGGACGUGAACAGUCGCAGCCUCCACAAGCGCCCCGGGCACACCGACGACACUCCACACGCAAUGCCACGCCCACAGCGUGGCACGCAAGCCUGCGCCGCGUUUCAGACUCUUCACUCACCA